rnacentral:lncRNA from 1 species
AAACAAAAUCUCUUUCCUUCUUACAUUUAAAGGUCUUCUAUCUUUAAAUUGUUCUCCUACACAAGGUAUGCUCUUAAUACUAAAGGGACAUAUGUUACCUAUACACAGUCUAUAUGUUGAGCUACAACAAUAACAACAACUCAGUAUAAUCUCACUUAGUGGGGUCUGGGAAGGGUAGAGUGUACGCAGAUCUUACCCUUACCCUUGGGUAGAGAGGCUGUUUCCAAAUAGACCCCCGGCAUCCUUCCCUCCAAGAACUUCCCACCUUGCUCUUGGGGAGAACGCAGACCUUACCCCUACCCUUGGGUAGAGAGGCUGUUUCCAAAUAGACCCCCGGCAUCCUUCCUCCAAGAACUUUCCACCUUGCUCUUGGAGAGACUCGAACUCACAACCUCUUAGUUGAAAGUAAGGGUUGCUUACCAUCAGAGCAACCGCUCUUGUCAAUAUAUGUUGAGCUACAUUUUCCUUAAUUUACAGGGUGAGAGUAUAUUUGAUGGUGCGAUAAGGGAGGUCAAAGAAGAAACUGGAGUAAGUUUACACAAUACUCAAUUCCACGUAAAUUCAUAUACUAACAUAAAUUUUCUGCUGUUACUUCGCUGCAAUUAAUUUUUUCUCUGACAUGCAUUUACCUUGUUUUUGUUUUAUCGCAGAUUGAUACAGAAUUUCUGGAAGUGCUUGCAUUUAGGCAUAUUUGUGCAAUUUUCUUUUAUGUUUGAGGAAUAAUUAUAUAUAGUUGGUUAUGCACCAGAGAGAGUACUCUUGCGAGAAGGAGAAAACGUAUCGUGGCUAAGACCUAACUUUUCAUGUUUUAGAAGAAAAAAAAAGCUAAAAAGAAUAUUGUAGAGCCAUGAUAAUCAACUACUCCUAUCCAUUGAAGUUUUAUUAUCAAAAGGUCAAAAUAAUACUAACAUUCAAUUGGUCAUGGUUCUUGCUUUUUGUACUCAUAGUGUUAUCAUCUACUACUCCAAGUCUCCAACCAUCCCAAAAAAAGAUGAACCUUUCCGAAUAUGCACUACCAAAAAAAACUCAAAUUACAAAAAAAAAAAAAUAUUGGUAAAUUGAUCAAAUUGGUUGGUAUUUUAACUUACUAACCGAUUACCAACGGAAAUUGGUCUGUUGCUAAAAGGCUCGAUGGUAAAUUUUACCAACUAGAUUGAAUUGGUUGGUAAACUUACCAACUAAAAAUUAAUUAGUAAACACCAAAUAAAUAUGUUGGCAAAUAUUGAAUCUUGAGUCCAAGAUUUUCGUUGGUAAAUUUACUAACAAAAAUUCAGUUGGAAGU